rnacentral:lncRNA from 1 species
GAGGAGGUUGAAAUGGGAGUGGAGGGAAUAUCGAAGGAGGCGGUGGCUGAAAUGGGUUUGGUGGAAAAAUCGAAGGUGGGGGUGCAAAUGGGUUUGGAGGAAGAAACCAUGGAGGUGGGAAAAAUAACUUCUUGUCUCCUAUAUUUUGCUUUUUGUAUGUUGAUGAUUGUUGCUUCUUGUGUUGGAAGUGAACCUGACUUUCUUUUCUAAUUUGUUUCAGAUUCCGACUAGACUUCCUUUCUGGAUGCUUCUUUACAGCCAAGAAUAUCUGAUUCUUCCCGUUUCUUGAACACCUUUUGAUUCCAAGACAUAAAACAUGGGAUUCUCUGCGAU